rnacentral:lncRNA from 1 species
UACCUCUAGAGAUCCUUCUCUUUGAAUUCCCGGUAUUCAGUUGUCUUCCUUGGUUCCACUAAACCAUUCAUGAAGCAGAUCGCCGGGAAGGUCUCAAGCAUAAAGCGAGAGUUUUCGACCCCGACCGACAAACUGUUAGAAUCCCAAUUUCUUUAGUAGGAAAUCAACGCGUUGAAAGAUCUUUGAUCUCACCUGGGAACAAGUCCAACAAAGCACUUUUCCCUACCAAAUUGUAUCUAUCCCUGCCUGCUUCUUCCAUUCGCUGAGCUCUGAGCUCCUCUGGAUAAUCAUGAUGUGCGCAUGCUGGCUACUCUGCUUUAGUAGUGCGUUAACUAGUAGUUAAAGUUAACUACUGAUUAAGGAUUUGGUACUGACACCCGUCUUACUAACUAUAAGCCUUUGGAAAAGAUAUAUUGGAUAGGGUAUACUCCUUUUGUUUACAACUAUCUCAAAGACUCCGUGACUUGGGAAGAAAAGAGACCGGGGUCAAG